UGGGGAAUAUUGGACAAUGGGGGGAACCCUGAUCCAGCCAUGCCGCGUGUGUGAAGAAGGCCUUAUGGUUGUAAAGCACUUUAAGCGAGGAGGAGGGUACUGGUAUUAAUACUACCAGCUACUGGACGUUACUCGCAGAAUAAGCACCGGCUAACUCUGUGCCAGCAGCCGCGGUAAUACAGAGGGUGCGAGCGUUAAUCGGAUUUACUGGGCGUAAAGCGUGCGUAGGCGGCUAAUUGAGUCGGAUGUGAAAUCCCCGAGCUUAACUUGGGAAUUGCAUUAGAUACUGGUUAGCUAGAGUGUGGGAGAGGAUGGUAGAAUUCCAGGUGUAGCGGUGAAAUGCGUAGAGAUCUGGAGGAAUACCGAUGGCGAAGGCAGCCAUCUGGCCUAACACUGACGCUGAGGUACGAAAGCAUGGGGAGCAAACAGG
rnacentral:rRNA from 1 species